GUGGCCGAAUGGUUACGCUGUCCGCUUUGUACGCGGAAGAUCAUGGGUUCGAUUCCCAUC
rnacentral:tRNA from 1 species